UUCUGGUUGAUCCUGCCGGAGGCGACCGCUAUUGGAGUUCGAUUAAGCCAUGCGAGUCUAGAGGCAAUAGCCUCGGCGUACCGCUCAGUAACACGUGGAUAACCUGCCCUGUUCAGGGGGAUAACCUCGCGAAAGUGAGAAUAAUACCCCAUAGUUCACCAUGCCUGGAACGGUUGGUGGAUAAAAGCUCAGGCGGAACAGGAUGGGUCUGCGGCGUAUCAGGUUGUAGGGGGUGUAAUGGACCUCCUAGCCAUCGACGCGUACGGGUUGUGGGAGCAAUCGCCCGGAGAUGGAUUCUGAGACACGAAUCCAGACCCUACGGGGUGCAGCAGGCGCGAAAACUUGACAAUGCGAGCAAUCGUGAUCAGGGAACUCCAAGUGGACCAGUUUUUACUGGUUUCUGAACCGACUUUAAACAGGUCGGGUAAUAGGGGCGGGAAAUAUCGGUGCCAGCCGCCGCGGUAAUACCGAAGCCCCAAGUGGUCGUCGAUCUUAUUGGGCUUAAAACGUCCGUAGCCGGUUUGGUACAUUCGUGGGUAAAUCAGACAGCUUAACUGUUUGAAUUCUGCGAGCACGGCCAAACUUGAGACCGGGAGAGGUGUAGGGUACCUGCGGGGUAGGGGUAAAAUCCUGUCAUCCCGUAGGGACCACCAGUUGCGAAGGCUCUACACUAGAACGGAUCUGACGGUCAGGGACGAAGCCUAGGGGCACGAACCGGAUUAGAUACCCGGGUAGUCCUAGGUGUAAACGCUGUGGACUUUGUGUCGGGGGUCUUUCGAGGAUUCUCGGUGCCGGAGUGAAGAUGUUAAGUCCACUGCCUGGGGAGUACGGUCGCAAGGCUGAAACUUAAAGGAAUUGGCGGGGGAGCACUGCAACGAGAGGGGCGUGCGGUUUAAUUGGAUUCAACGCCGGGA
rnacentral:rRNA from 1 species